GGGCAGUGGACAGAAUCUGGGGAGGCAGUGGUGAAUCUCGGCGACUCUGGUCACCUGAUCAUAGAAUGGUUUGCCUUAGUCUGGACACUAGGGGGCGCUUGGGGCCCAUUUCUGAGAAGACUCGGGGUAAUCAGAGCAGAACCAGGCACCGGCCCUGCCUGAUGUCCUCUGCUCAGGGCUGACAGCUGUGUCCUGUGUCCUCCCCGCCCUCUGGGAGCACAAAACUCCACCCCUGCCACCCCCUGACAUCCUCAAGCCCAGGAGCCUGGCCCAGAGCUCAGGGCGGGGUCAAAAAGCUGGGGGCUCUGAUUUGCAUGGUUGGACUCUCCCCUUCUCAGAGUAUGAAGACAGGGAGAGAUUUGGGGGAAGCUCAGCUUCAGCUGUGGGUACAGAAGGCAGGACUCAGGACAAUCUCCAGCAUGGCCUGGUUCCCUCUCCUCCUCACCCUCCUUACUCACUGUGCAGGGUGCUGGGCCCAGUCUGUGUUGACUCAGCCACCCUCAGCGUCUGGGGCUCCCGGGCAGAGUGUCACCAUCUCUUGCUCUGGAAGCAGCUCCAACAUUGGAAGUAAUUCUGUAUACUGGUACCAGCAGUUCCCAGGAACGGCCCCCAAACUCCUCAUCUAUUAUAGUAAUCAGCGACCCUCAGGGGUCCCUGACCGAUUCUCUGGCUCCAAGUCUGGCACCUCAGCCUCCCUGACCAUCAGUGGGCUCCAGUCUGAGGAUGAGGCUGAUUAUUACUGUGCAGCAUGGGAUGACAGCCUGAGCGGUCCCACAGUGCUCCAGGCCCAGGGGGAAGUGAGACAAGAACCUCCUUCCUCCUCUGCCAGGAGGGUGAGCCCCCGGCACCUGCUGCUCAGGCCUGGCCUGUGA